UGAAGUUGUGGCUCAGUGGUAGAGUGCUUGCCUGGCAUGCAUGAGACACUGGGAUUGAUCCUCAGUACUGCAA
rnacentral:tRNA from 1 species